rnacentral:rRNA from 1 species
AUGCCACGUGUCAUCCAUCAGGAUGGGUCUCACCUGCUAACCCGUGAGACCUGGUCUCAUAGAAUUAUUUUCCCUAUUUAUACCCUGCUCCACGGAGUUCCAUCUCCACCACCACCACACAUGCUAAUCAAGCUCUCAGCUCCUUCCCAGCUCCACGGUUUCCAGCAAGCAAGCCGAAGCACUAGAUCCUCGAUGGCUCGCGUGGCACUGGUCGCCGUGUUCGCCGUGCUCGCGGCACUGGCGGUGGCGGAGAUGGCGUCCGGGGCGGUGACCUGCGGCGACGUGACGUCCGCCGUCGCGCCGUGCAUGUCCUACGCGACGGGGAAGGCGUCGGCACCCUCGGGUGCGUGCUGCAGCGGGGUGAGGACCCUGAACGCCAAGGCGUCCACCCCGGCCGACCGGAAGGCGGCGUGCAACUGCCUCAAGAACCUGGCGGGGUCGGGCAUCAGCAUGGGUAACGCCGCCAACAUCCCCGGCAAGUGCGGCGUCUCCGUCUCUUUCCCCAUCAGCACCAAAACCAACUGC